UUACUGCAAUAAAAAAGUCUCGAGUUUUAAAAGAAGAGAGAUUUGAAACAAGACCUAGAAGCCAAUCAUUUUUGUCUAAAACAUAUACGCCUAAAAUAAUGCUAUAUUUUGUUCAGGGAUACAUACAUAUCUAAGACCACAUUGAAACUUUAGAAUGGAUUCACCUUAAAGGUGGGGGUGGUAGGGAAACGACUGUGGCGGGGAUGAAGGCGGGUACACUAAUAAAAUGAAUACAAUUACAUGACGUAAGAAAGGAGCCUUACCGGGGUCAUCAAGUAUCACGUGCAAUGAAGUGAGGAGAGUGAGGUCUUCAUUUCCUUGUCCCUGUUGUCCAAGAAAUAAAAUUGUCCCAGAAACCUACUAGGACAUUUUGCCCAGAACAACUCAACUUGAAACUGUGCUCCACUUUUAUUCCUUGCCAUCAGAAUUUCUCAGGAGUUCAGUCUCUUAUGUUUCUCCUAUGCCAAAGAAUAUACUUUUUUUUUCUCCUAAAACAUGUGGAAUAUCCAUUAAUAUUAAUAGGAGUUGAGGAUAUACUUAAGAGAAACCAAGAAGUACUUGGUGAAAUCCUGACAAAGCUCAUCUUCUCACGCUGUACACCGUGUCUUCUCAAGUGUGGCACUGUUGGAGAUGCUUGUUUAUCCAUGGAGCUCAAAAACUCUGGCCGAUGUAAACCACACAAUGUUUGUAUAAGGCUGCUUGGCAGACACCAGCAAGGAGACAUACCUCCAGUGUACUACUUCUUUAUACAUAUAUAGCACACACACACGUAUAUAUAUACCUCCUGCACCUUGAAGGUGUGUGGAACAGACGCAGAGUAAUUCGUAGUAGACUGAAGAUAGACCUGAAAAUACUAAGUAACUUAAAAAAUUGUUGAACUAUAGACUAGAAAAGUAAUUUUUGAGCUCGUCACUGGGCCCUUACAAGGCUUGCUGUUCCUGAGAACUAAGUGACGACUUGUGUGUGACAAGAUGAAACAUGCAGAAUUUACAGAAGUUUCCCCUCCAAGUGCUCAGAAUGGUGGAAACCGUGGGGAAACUUUCCAGGCAACCUUAUAUAGUGGAAAGAAAUCAGGACUAAAAUUGUGAGGCCUCACCUCAGAUUCCCCACACUGCUUCUUUGAGAGGAACAACUUGAGAACUCCCGUGCUAUCCCGGAGCAUGACUUCCUCAUCUGUAAAAUGGUGGAUAAACCCUUCUUAGCUGCAAGAUUGUUGCGGUGUUCUAAUGGCGUAACAAAGGGGAAUGAGUUUAGCAAACUUCUGCUGUAACAACGUAAGGGACACUAGUGGCGAUCAUGAUUGUUUACCGCCCCAACGAUGUCACCUCACUGGCUUUGAAGGUGAAAAGGAGAAGAAAACAAAAGGUGAGAAUAGAAAAAAUCACUUUGAAAGUAGGACAAGAGCAGAAGAGAUUCUGAACUUUGCAUCUAUUGAGAAGUUGAAAAGAAAAGUCCUAUCAGCCCAAGAAUCAGCACCCAUCUCCAUAAGUUUCUUCCCAGUGUUAAGACAAGAGCCCUGAAGUUGAAGCUCACUGGACCUGUGAAUUUGGGGUCUUUAGUGUGAUCAGAGUGGAACAUCUUGCAUUUCAAAAUGUGACUAUUGUAGGAUGGAAGGAAAAAUUGGGUGAAAAAUUAUAAUUUUUCUUUCAUAUGGGGACAUUUUCUGAGUUACAGGAGGCGCAAACACAGUAGGGAAACCCCCGGCAAUUGGGACAUGCAGUCACCCAGAGUGAAGAUCACACUUGGGUUUCCUACGCUGCAUUAGCUUCUGGGUUAAAUCAAUUCACAAACACAGUAGCGAAGCUGAAUUUCUCUAAUUCUAUUCUCACUACACAAUUAUGAGAAUCAUGGGAACUUUAGUCUCUUUGAAUUUUGUUCCUUCCCAGCUAGUUUAUGGAGUCCCCAGAGAGUAACUUGGGGCUUGUGAAUUCACUCCUCUCAGCUAACAUUGGAAUUUUUGCCAUUUCCUCAGGCAAGUGUAGUGCAUGCAGGGAAUGUAGCAAUUUCCCCUGCCGCGUCCCGGUGCCAGCCAUUUCACUUCACUCAGACAGUGCGAGUCAGGAUGUUGGUCACAUCUGUUGUUUUCUUGGCUUCUCCUCCCUUCCUGAUGUGACUCGUCAGCUUUCUGCCUCCUACUGUGUGCAUCCACAAUAUUCCAGUCAUCCUUUCUUAAGUUUAUUCUUUAUUCUCCCAGGUCCUCUAUAGACUAGAGGGCAUAGCAUUCAAGGUCUCAAUCAAAAUUUUAGCAGAAUUUCUUUUACUGUUAACCACUGCUUCUGCCCAAGACUCUGGCACAAGUUCCUGGAGGAAAACAUUGAAUAAACGGAUAAUAUGAGCAGCUCAACCACUAUUGCACUAAAACAAAUUCCUCUACACUAUAACUGGGUAUCCAUCUUUAUAAUAGUUUAGGUGCCUUAUCUCUCUCUUUCAUAGACUGAUUUUUUCAUAAUGAUUCUUGGCUUUUCAUAAAAAUACAAAAAAGUUAGAGAAAAUACAAAGAAGUGAGGAGAGAAGUGAGGAAGACAUUCUCCAAAGGAGGAAAAGCUUGCUCAAAGCUGUAACAGCAGGAAUAAUUGUGUCCAUACUGUGGGAUUCCACAGCUGAUCAAGUUGAAGGACUCACUUUGAGAAGACAUUAAAACCGGAGCUGCCUUAACUAACAGUUACUCAGUUCAUCCAGGGCCUUGGAGUUGAUACAGUAGAAGAAGGGAGACUUCGUAGAUUUCUAAGCAAUAGAUAGCCAUGGACAGUCACAGUUACAGGAUGGCUUGGAAUGGGGAAAGAUUACAAACAGAGAAAAUUCCUAGGAGUAUACGAAUAAAACAUGUGUGAGAUGAUACAAACUUAGAUUCUAGUGGUGGUAAGGAUGGCAGGUAGUGGUUGGAAGGAGAAUGAAAGACAUUUUAAAGGGAUAACUGAGAUAGCAAACUCUUCAGGAAAAAAUUAAAAUUCCAAGUCCAUUUCAGAGAGUUUAGCAAAUUGAAAUUCAUGAAUCUCCUCUUUACGGUGUUUCUAUUCUGGUGAUUUUCACUCCACGGAGUCUCAUCUCAGAGUUGCUCUCUCACAACUUUCUGUUCUGGAACAGAGAAUCAAGCCCAGCUGGAUUCGGGUGACUUCCUCGGAUCAUGUUAGGACGGCUGCCUUGAAGCUUACAAGCUCUAGGCUCUCCCGGAUCAAGGCUUACAUGUCGGUUCCCCCAAACAUAUAUAUUUACAGUGUGGUAUUGGCAGGUUCAAUGUGAGCAAUAAAGUAUACAAACCAUCAAUAGCUUCCAGGUUUUGACUCCCAAAAACUGGAAAAUAAAAGCAGCCAUGUGCAAAAAUGGGAAGAGAGAAGAUGACAUCAACCUUGAGGGCAGGGCAAUGGCAGUGAUUUUGGAUAUGUGGUUUGAUUUUGGACGUGUGGUUAUGUGGUGAAACAUCCAGUAUACAAUUGAAAAGGAAGGAAAUAAAUAUUUGAGUCACUGGCAUAAGGGUAAUAACUGAAACUCUGAGAAUAAGGACGGAAGAGAAGCCUGAGGUCACUUGUCUCAUCAUGGAUCAUGGGGAGAAAGUCCUUGUGGUUCCCCUACAGGACAUCCAGCUGUGAACACAGGCUCUUUUCACUGCAAGGCUGUUAUCAGAGAUGUCGCCUACAAAUCAAAUUGCUGGUUGCGGGACCUGUCCUGGCCACCCAUCUGUUUGGGGUCAUGCUGACCAGUGUGCAGCUUCCUCUUCCUGGUCUCCAAUGCGUCCGCUCUAGUGCCUCCACAGAGAAAUGUGCGCUGGGAUAGUGACUCGGGUGUUCCCUUCGUGUUUGCACAAUCACUGCUUCAUAAAGUCUGACUCCAGAAGGAGAGGUGAUAUAUUACUUUCUGACUUUUGGAAAUAUAAGGAAAUCCCAUCAUUUAGUGAAAUAAUGCUUCUUGUUUCCUUCACUUACUCCACAGGUGUUGUUCAGCUUUCUUCUUCUAAGCCCUCCGUAAGUGUCUUGGGGAGUGGGAAAAGCAAGAACACUUUCACUGGGAAUCACCACUGUGUUCAGGAGGUCUCCGCAGCUUUUUAAAAUGCCAGGUCAGCAAAAGACACAAGCUUCAGAGACCACAGAGCACGAUGUAAUAUUUGCAACCACAGUGAAAUUGGCUCAAAUAAUUUAUUUUGAAAAAUUCCAGGCUGAGGCCAAGGUAUAGAAAAAGAGCUGCAUAAUUUAUAGGUCCCAUUUAAGUCGUCUCCCUGUAAAAUUAAAUUCCACCCUGUUCCUACUUCUUGCAACAGUGGUUUCCUGGCACUGCUGCCCGGCGUUGCUCCUGAGAGCUCUACUCCUUAGAGCAAGGGGAGGCUGUCUGCAAGCGCCUGAUUAACCUGGCAACUAACUGAAUACGAAGCCGUCGUUUAGGAAGAAUCAAAACAAUCUCCGCUCCAUUUUCCAGAUGGACUGUUCCAAGGGCCAGAGCAUAGCUGGCCGAAGAGAAAUCAGUUGUGGUUUAUGAGAAGGCAAGUGAAGCAUGGGCUUUGGAAUGAUGCAAUGCUGGAAUCUAGUCCAAACGUUUUACUGCCUCAGGGUCUUUGCACUGCUAUUCCCCAUGCCCAAAUCACUGUUCUCUGAGCUUAGCUUAUUGCACUGCUGACAUCUUCUCAUCCUUCACAUCUCAGCUUAUUGUCACUUCUCCAAGGAGACCCUCCCUGACCAGCCCAGUUAAAGUAACACCCUUCUUAUGCUCUCUCUAGUUAUCAUCAUCAUAAUCCUGGCUGUAUUUACUCCAAAGCAUUUUUCUCCAACUAUAAGUAUUUUUAAAAUUUGUAUGUUAACCUGUUUUUUAGCUUUCCCUUCCCUCUAAGAGAGAAAUUACUUGAGGGCAGAACUGUAAGCACAUCUGUUUUAUUUUCGAGAAGUGAAAUAGGCAGUGUCAUAGCUCUCAAACUUUUUUGUCUCAGGACUCGUUUUAUAUUUUUGCAAAUCUCUGUAAUGUCUGGCUUAGUAAAAGAGAGCUCCAUUGCCACAUAGGCUUCUGCAUUCAGUUUGUUGUGAUGUCCUACUCUGGUUGAAGAACAUAAAAAAAUCAAAAUAUUGCACACUGUCUUCCUUGCUAGUACACCGAAGGUUGACGAGCGGUAGUUCCCUAAAGUUUAGCUGUAAAAUGGAAUUUGAAACCAUAUCAAUGAACUUCUCAUUAGCUGUUACAUUAUAAUUCACUGGUCUUGCCCUUUGAAAGCAUCUUUUAUCUCUGAAUUGUUUUGUAAUAUCAUUCAUUGACCAUCUAAAUCGAUACUGCUUAACUCGUUAUGCAUAUCUUUCAAAUACUGACAUAGUUUAUGAUAGAAUAUCACAAAGUCUCAUUUGUUCAUAUCUCCACUAAUGUCGUGAGAACAAUUUUUAAGUAAUAGGAAGCUAUUAAGCUCACAGUGACAUAUACAAGUUUUUCUAACUCCUAAUUUUCUCUUGAAAGCUUAAAUGAAUGGCAACAAAUACUGUCAGCUGCUUGUCUUGUAGUGACAGGAUCACUUCAUUUUUUUUUAAUUCUUUUUAUUAAGACCUUAUUUUUUUAGAGCAGUUUUAGGAUCAUAGUAAAACUGCAGGGAAGACACAUAUAUUCCCUGCCCGCACAUACACCCAGCCCCCCACUGUCAACAUCCUUCGCCAGGGUGGCACCUGGGUUCCAGUUGAUGAAACCACCCUGGAACAUCGUAACUACCCAAGGUCCAUAGAUUACAUUAGGGCUCACUCUUGGUGUUGUACGUUCUAUGGGUUUGGACAAAUGUAUAACGUCAGGUAUCCGUUAGUAUGGCAUCAUUUAGAGUAUCUUCACUGCCCUGAAAAUCCUCUAGGUUUGACCUAUUCAGCCCUCCCCCACCAAUCCCUUGCAACCACUGAUCUAAUAUUUUGUUAAGGAUUUUUGCAUCUAUGUUCAGGAGAGACGUUGACCUGUAGUUUUAUUUUCUUGUAAUGUCUUUGUCUGGUUUCUGUGUUAGGGUAAUGCUGGCCUCAUAGAAUAUGUUAGGAAGUGUUCCCUCUGCUUCUAGCCUCUGAAAGAGAUUGUCUAGAAUUGGUAUAAUUUCUUCCUUAAAUGUUUGGUAGAAUUUGCCAGUGACCCAGCUGGGCCUGGUGCUUUCUGUUUUGGAAGGUUAUUCAUUAUUGAUUCAAUUUCUUCAACAGAUAUAAGCCUGUUCAAAUUGGUUUUUCCUUCUCUUGUGGGUUUGUCAAAUUGUGUCUUUGAAGAAAUUGGUUUCUUUCAUCUAGGUUAUCAAAUUUGUGUCACAGAGUUGUUUAUAAUCUUUAUGAUCCUUUUAAUGUCCAUGGGAUCCGUAGUAAUGUCCACUCUUUCAUUUCUGAUAUUAGUAAUUUGUCUCUCCUCUUUCUUUUGUCUUAGCCUGGCUAGAGGAUUAUUGAUUCUGUUGAUCUUUUCAGAGAACUGGCUUUUGAUUUCAUUUAUUUUCUUCUUCUUCUUUUUUUUUUUCUGAGGAAGAUACACCCUGAGCUAACAUCCAUUCCCAAUCCUCCUCUUUUUGCCGAGGAAGAUUCUCCCUGAGCUAAUAUCUGGGCCGAUCUUCCUCUAUUUUGUAUGCGGGAUGCCAUCACAGCAUGGCCACUGACCAGUGGUGUAGGUUUGUGCCCAGGCACUGAACCCAGGCCACCAAAGCAGAUCAUGCUGAACUUAACCACUCGGGUACCAGGGCUGGCCCUAUUUUCUUUUUUUGUUUCCUGUUUACAAUUUCAUUGAUUUCUGCUCUAAUUUUUAUUCUUGUCUUCUACUUACUUUGGAUUUAAUUUGCUCUUCUUUGUCUAGUUUUCUAAGGUGGACACUUAGAUUGUGGAAUUUAAUCUUUCUUCUUUCUCAUAUGUUUAUUCAGUGUGAUACAUUUCCUGCUAAGCACUGCUUUCGCUGCAUUCCCCAAAUUUUGAUAAGUUGACUUUAUUCAUUUUUCAGAAAUUAUCUAUAAAAUAUCCAAGUGUGAGUAAGCUUAAUUUGACUCUUAUUCUUUCAAAUAAAAAUAGUGUUCCAUGAAAAAUGUUGCUAGUUCAUCUCCCAAUUCAAACAAUCACACAAGUGGUUUUCCUCAAGACCACUAUCAUAUACACACACACACAUUAUCAUAUCACACACACAAGAAUGUUUUUGUGUGUGUGAACACAAUGACUAUUAGUGAAGUUUGGUGCCACUGUGUUGAUUUUACCCACUGUUAUUCUGAACCAUGAGUGCAAAUGUCAGCAUGGUGAAAUGGUCAGCAAUGGUCAGCAUGGUGAAAAAGGCAAAUAAUGUUGUAAUGUUAUUAUAAAAAUUUCUUUGACCUCAUGGAUCUCAUGGAAGGGUCUCAAAGACGCCAGGGGGGUCUGGCACUUUGAGGACCACUAGAGCAGUGGUUAGGAGGAUAGAUGGAUGGCUCUGGGGUACGUACCUGGGCUCUACUCCUUACCAUUAUAUUCACAAGCCCUCUGUUCUCACCUUUCCUCAGUUUCUACAUCUCUAAAAUGGGUGUGCUAAGGAUAUGUGUCAUUAUGCAUUUGUAUAACACCAAGGUAAACUCUAAUGUAAACUGUGGAUUCGAGAUGAUAAUGAUGUGUCAAUGUAGGUUCAUCAAUUGUGACAAAGGUACCACUGCAGUGGGGGAUAUUGAUAAUGGGGGAGGCCAUGCAUGUGAGGGGGCAGGAAGGUAUAUGGGAAAUCUCUGUUUUUUCUGUGAAUCUAAAACUGCUCUAAAAAAUUGUCUUUGUGAAAAAAAUGGAGGCCGGUAAUAAUACUAUCUGCCUCAAAGGGCUAUUGUCAAGUUUAAGUAGGUGAAUGUGGGGCAAGUGAUGAGAACAGUGUCUGGCAUAGAGUGAGUGCAACAUGAUGUCAGUUCUCUCUAUUGUUUGUUGUUGCUGUCCAAGCAAUCAGCAAGCAUCUGGCACAGAGUUGGUACUCCCUAAAUAUUUGUCAAAAAGAAUAAAUGAUUAGACCAAGUCCCACCACAUACUAGUUCUGGGUUCUUGGGUAAAUGAUUAUCUUUGAGCUUAAUUUUCUUUUAACAAGGUGGACAAAAUUAACAGCUUUACAGAUCUAUCAUGAGAAUUAAACAGAAGCAUAUAUGUGGAAAUGGUUUCUAAAUUUCAGGUGCUCUAGAAAUGUUAUUUUUUGCAAACAGUGAAAUUUUUCCCUUAUGGACUUGCACUAGGACUCUUUCUGCUAGAAGUGAUUAAAACCAUGUAAGGAAAAAAAAAAAAGCCAGUCAAAUAGAUGUCAGUACACAUUUCUUAAAGUACAGUUUCAGGCAUAAUUGAGUCCAGAUAGUGCCAUUUUGUCAUCAAUCAUCUGUCUUUCUUUACUUCUCAACUUCAUGCUCCUUGGUAUUGCCUCAUUUCUCAGGUUGGCUCUCAGGAUCUAGUGACAGAAGCAAUCACCAAAAGCUUUAAGCUUACAACCCACCAGCUUAGAAACUGUAGUGGGUCAAUCAUUUCCCAGUUGAUGUAGUGAAGUCCUGGGUAGUACUCUCAUUGACCCAGCUUGGGUGGUCGUAUGCCCAUAUCUUCACCACUCAGAGGGCUAGAUUCUCUAAGAAUUCCCAAUAGUAAUUGACAGAUGUGGACCAAACGCUUUCCUUUAGAAGCAGAAGGUGAGUCAGUCCUACUUUAACUACAUGGAUUGAAAAUGGAAGAGGCAUAGUGUCCCCAAGGAAAUUUCAUGUCCUGUGACCAAAAGAAGGGAGAGGAUUGUGGCAGGCAAAAGUAACAGGUGUUUACUAAGGGUGGUAUCAGACAAAUGUCGGCAUGUUAUCUUUAUAUAGAUUGAUCGCAUACAGCGUAAGUCCAGUAUUUUAACAAGACUCUUUCUAGUCAAUGGAGUGACUCUGACAGAGAAUGUCCGAGGGGAUGAGGCACGCAAGUUGGUGAGAGUGAUUGAAAGCUUUGCUUUAUUUACCUUCAAAUCCCAUUCUGUGAGUGGUCUCUUGUUCCAUCCAUGCAGGAGGUAGGCCUUUCCCUAGAAAACUGGGUCUUUCAUUUCUGUUACUAAGUGUCAUAGUCUCAAAUGAACAAUUUUGUUUUCUUCUGUUUCUCAUUUUUCACUUUCAUCCAGCUCAGAGAACAAUCUCUAGACUUACUGUUCUGAUGGCCGUUCUUCCAAUUUGAUUUGGUUCUGUUGUUCUGUUGAAAGGAAGCAUAAAGUAAUGAUGUGAGUACUGGUAGGCACGCAGGAUGGAGUUUGACUCCUUUACUCUCUAUGCCAAUUUAGAGUUGUUUGACCUCUGUGAGCAUCAGUUCUUUCAGCUGUAAACUGGGGAAGAUAUUAGUGGUUGUGAGUAUUCAAUGGAGUAAUGUGUGAAAAAGCCCCCUUAUAGAACCUGGUCCAUAGUCUGUGUUCAGUAACAAAUAGUUCCUUCCCCAGACCCUCUGUCUCCCGCUCCAAAUGUGCAUUCUUUCCGGAUCUCUCAUUUGCAAUGCCCACCUUUGUUUCAUCAUGCUGAACCAUAACCCUCUUCCAAUUAAACUGGUGUUUCCAAUCAAAGCAUCCUUGAAGUCUCCACAGAUAAUCCCCACUUUCAACAUCUGUUCAGAAAGACAAAAGUCUAAGGCCAGACUUAAAAAUAAGCAGAGUAGGUGACCACUUAGAGGCGGACAACGACUUAAACAGUGAGCAUCAGAGGCCUUCUUGCCCUCAGCUUUCUUUCCCACCCACUUGUCAAUUGUAAGAAAUUUCCAUUUAGGAUAAUGUUUCCCAUUUAAUCAAUGAAUCUCCAUUAGCCUUGUUUAGACGUAGAUAUUUUUCCUGAAGGAGGUAGUUUAUAGCCAUUAGUAAAGAACAAUAGUAAUUUGUAGUCAGAUUAACCUAGAAAGUAGAGGAGUUUGAAAAAAGUGCAUAGAGGACAGGAUAGAGCCUGCGACACUCUACAGAUGACAGAGGAUAGUAGUGGUGGUGGGUAAAUUUGGGGCUGAUCCUCAGUGGAUCAUGCAUUCUUCGUUCACCCACUUAGCCAGCACUUACGAAAUACCCAUUUUGUGCCUGGCAGAAUCCUAGGUAUAAGAAAUACCUUGGUUGAAAAAGAUAGGCAAGUUCUGAAGUCUCAUGAAACUCACAGGGUAGUGGGGAUGACUGACAUUAAACAAGUAGUUGCAAUAAAGCCUGGUGAGUUUUAUAAUAAGCUAAGACCAGGUCCUCUAGGAGCAAAGAGCUAAAACACCUCACCUACUGAGCCCAAGGGAUUCAAGUGAGGCUGUGUGGAAGAUGUGCCCUUUAACCUGAGACUUCCAGGAUGGCUCAGAUUUAGCCAGAAAAUUAGGGAGAAGAGAAUCUCUAGGAAGAGGAAAUAAAGGUUAUGCAGGCCUAGAGACUAAAAACUAAAACAAAAACGCAUUGUAGAUUGAGGGCACAGAAAUAAGAAUUCUACCUACCUGAAAUACAGAAUACACAGAAAAAUUAGAUUAGAGACAAGUCUGGAGAAAUAAGCAGGGAUUGAAGUCACGUGAAAUCCAGUUGAGCGGUGUGAAAGGGAGUAUGUGCGCCUUGUUAAGGCAGUUGUACCUUACUCUACGCAGGAUUUUAAGCUGAGCAGUGGUAAGAUCACAUGUGCCUUUCUCAGGGUCACUCUGGUUAUAACAGAUUGGAGGGAAGCAUGAAUGAAAGCAGACAGAUCACUUAAGUUGCUGCAGCAAUCCAGCGACGGUUGGCAGAGCUCGUGUGGCAGUGAUCAGAAUGAUGCUGCUGCUGCUGAUGGUGGUGGUGGUGGUGGUCAUGACUGUGAGGACAGAAGUGAUGAUAAUGGUGGUGGCGAUGAUGGUGCUGUCUUUAGGCACCAUUAGGCUUAUUUGUCUUUGAGGCUUCUUGGCUGCGCUGUUGAGCACUGUAGCCAGCAGCCACACGUGCCUAUUUAAAUUCAAAUGAAAUAAAAUUAAAAAGGCAGUUCACCAGUUACACUAGCUACAUUGCAAGUGCUCCUUAGCCACAUGCAGCUAGUGGCUACCCUAUUAGAUAGCGCAAAUAUGAACAUUUCCCUCGUUGUAGAACAUCCCUUCAGACAGCCCUGCUCAUCACACGUAGAACGGCUUGACUUCCAGCUAUAUUUGUACCGUGCACUAGAUUUACGACUAAUCUUAUCUGUAGCAGGAGGAAUUAAAGCGCGGACACAACACUUGAAACACAGUAAGAACAUAAUGAGUGUAUUUUAAAUGAAAAACAUUUCCCAGAUUUAACUCUUGUCUUUUAUCAAAUUAUUUUUAUCAAAUUAUGUUUGCAUGUAGUCAAGCUCAAAUUCCACUUCUGAAAAUCAAACUCUGCCUUGUGCUUUGGACAGGCCUGAGUUACUCUCUUGCUAACCAAUCUAAAAUCCCAUCCAUUGCAUCACAAGACGGUGUGUGUUGGUGCAGGGGUUUUUAAAUUUUAUGCUAGCCAUAAACCUUUUAUUUCAAGUCAAUAUGUUAGGAAAGCCCAAAAUACAUAAGCGAUAAAGUCAUAACUUCUCUGGUGAAGUGGUGGGAGAGAGCCCACCUGUUCUGCCUCUCUUUUGCUCCCCCACAUUUCUCUUUAGACAGAUUUGUGAGAUUUUAGGGCUCAACAGAACACAGCUUGAAAACACUGUUGUAACAGAAAGAGCGUAGGACUCAGUGUCACAAAUCUGUGCUGCAAUUGCAAGCCUACUGCUUACCAACUGCACACCCUUCAACAAAUCUUUCAACAGCUAGGGUUUUCAUUUUUGAUGUCUCUAUAGUGAGUGUAUCAAUAGCCCCUUGUUCACAGGUUUCUGUGCAGCUCAGCUGAGGUAGUAUGUGUAAAAGGAAUUUGCAAUCUGUAAAGCUAUAUUCCAAGAGGAUGUAAUGCCAUGAUUGCUUCUCUUGUCAGAUUCCAUUCAGGAACGAGAGCCAGUCACCUGCUAACACACGAUCUCUUCAUCAAAACUGACAAACUGCACACUGAAUUCUAGGAUCUACCAGAAUGGGUCAGCUUGUGGGAACAAAGGAGAGCCUGAAAACAGAAAAUUGAGUUUACUGAUUCUUGCUUUGACCUGCUCACACAGGACUUCCAGAUUCCCUCAAAUUGGCUCCCAACUAUUUCAAGGGGUCUGCAGGGGAUUUCUCACAUGUACUUAUGAGCAAGUAUGCCAUUUAUAGUCAGUAAGAAGCUUCUCCUAUUCCUUCCUCUCGUGUGGUGAAUCCCCUGUUCCUGUAGGUCCUGGACGGGACUUCCCUGCAUUUUCUACCUCUGACCAUUUCCGUGAAAUCUCUGCUGUCUACAUGGCUUCCCAGCACUCCUGAAACUGCCAUCCAUCAAGGCACCAAAGAACACUGUGCCCCCAUCCUCCUCACUGUACCCGCACUUCCGUGUGUUCUUCCCAGAAGACCAGAAGGGUAUACGUUUUCCUGACUCAGUACCACACGAUUUCCCCAGGGCACAGAAGCAUCACUGCUUGGCCGCCAUAGCUCACAAGGUCAACCACAGAAAGAGUUCUCUGGUUUUUGGCCAGGAACUGCUCUCUGCAGGAGUCACACAUGGGUUCUUGAGGAUGUGAUGAAGCAGGGGGAUAAACUGACAUCUAGGCAGGGAUGGGGCCAAUGUCAUAGUCAAGAAAACAACACCAAAGUGCCAUAUUGAGGUUGAGUGGGGUUGGAAACAGCUUGUGAUGGGUGUAUGGAGUGAGUCAGGGUGAGUAGCUCAGGUCUGAGUCUAUGAAAAGUGAGAGGGUUGAGGGAUUACUUUCAGGGACUUAAGUUUUUCUACACAGAUGUAAGGAAUUUAGCCACUUGUAUCUUUUAAUUAAUGCUGUUUCAAUAGAAUGGUAAUUCUAAAACCUUGGAGUGUGUACUAACAGAAGGCACAUCAGAAUCUUGGCAAAUGAGGAGGAAUGUCACAUGUAGUUUGAAAAACUCCUUGAGUGGAUGGCGUGUGCUUUCCUCCCACACAUAGCAACGCUAUUACAGUGUGUAGUCUACAUGGCCCAUUGGCUGGCGAGGUGGUUAAAGGAAUUGCAGUGUUAAAUACUGACCACAUUCAGUCACUGACGGCAGUAGUCAGCCUCCAAAAUGUCCCCCGUGAUCUCUGCCUCCUGGUAUUUAUGCCCUUGUGUAAUCUUCUCCCACAAUGAAUCAGCACUGGUCUGUGUGACCAAUAAAUUAUGGUGGCAGUAAAAGUAUGUGUCUUACAAGACUAGGUCAUACAAGGCAUUGAAGCUUCCUCUUUUCUCUCUUUGACCAAUUGCUCUUGGAGAAGUUGGUGGCCAUGCCAUGAGGUCACUCAGGUAGCCCUGUGGAGAGGCCAAUCAGAGAGGAACUGAGACCUCCAACCAACCACCAACAUGAGCUUGCAAGCCACAUGAGUGAGUCACCUUGGAAGUGGCUCCUCCAGCUUCAGUCACGCCUUCAGGUAACUGCAGUUGUGGCCAUUAGAUGGUUACAACUUCAUGAGAGACCUUGAGCCAGACUGCUCAGCCAGCCGCUCCCAACUUCCCGACCCGUAGACUACAGGAUAAAUAAUAAACAUUUAUUCUUCCUCUAAGUCAUUAGGUUUGUAGGUUAUUUGCUAUGCAGAAAUAGAUAACUAAGAGAAACUUACUCUAAUUUCGUUACUGACACUUUGGGUCAAUUGUACCCUUUCUUUUCCACAUUGGGCUACAUAAACAUUCUAAAUUUUUAGAGAUCCACUAAGAAGGGUGAGAAAAAGACACCAAGGGAUGAGUAUGCAUACAGAAAAGUUAAUUUUUAAAAAAUUUCAUAUAAAAUAUUUGCACAUAUGAAGUUACCAAAAUGUCUUUAAAAAUUAGAGGAGAGGGAAAAGGUGCUCCUUACAGAUAGCGAUAUAUUUAUUAGACAUUCGAUGACAAUAUUAAGGACAUAUUCACCAUGUCUGCAGAUCCAAUGAAACAGAAUCGGUUAGGGAAUAGUUAUUAGACAGAAAAAAGAUUAAAAAAAUCAUCUAGAUAGUGUGGAUCAAUAGGCCACAAAUAAAAAAAAAAAGUUUUAAUUGAAAAAGAAUAUAAGUCCUCUACUCGAGUGUUUCAUUUAUGUAUUCUUGGAUUGCAAGUCACAGAAUGCAACCUGGCUAUUCUCAAUAAAAAAAAUAAUUUAUUGGAAUGAUAUCAGGUAGCUCCUAGAAAUUAUGAGAAAUCUGGAGAACUUACCUCAAAAAUGAUAGGAAUAAGUUCAGUCUUGUUAUUUAGAUAACAAGAACAUCUCUGAUUCUCAUGAACAGCCCCUCCUGGAAUGAAAAUGUGUGACUAUUUUUAUUCUCAAUCUGACUUCACUUUGUAUGAGAGUAACUAUCCUGGGCACACAGAAUCUAAGCGCUCCAUUAUAUGCCCAUUUCUAGGCUAAGGAAGCGAAUAGCAUUUUAAUUAUGCUCUCCGCUCACCCUGAGUCACGUGAAGAUGUAAUUUUCCAAAUGAAAUUUGUUAUUGUUAUCAAUAGGAAGGAAAAAUAGGUUCUGGGUGCUGUAAAACAACAAAUGUUAACCACCAAAGGCAAACUGUUCAAGCACAAAAUAGCAGAGAUAUAGUGUGCAUGUGAGAAAGAGAUUCAGGAUUUUAGACACCAUUGGGUUCGAAUUGCAUAAAUUAGCCACCAAAUGCUCAUCAAACUUAAGCUAUACUGAUAGCCAAGGAAUCAAACAUGAGAAAAGUGAUAGAUAUAUUCUAACCUGACUACACUAGGAAAACUGGCCGUAACAUAUUUUUGAGAUGAAGAUAGAUUAUUCUAGUAUGUUUAUGAAGACACACACACGCACAUAUACAUAUAUUUGUAAUGAGUAGAGCCCACUUCACCAGCUCAGGGCAUAUAUAAGGUCACAAAUAUAGCAUUUUUGAAUAAACUACUCAAGGCUUCGUUGCUGUAGUUUGGUAGGAUGUUUUGUUUCUCUUGCUCUCUAUCUUCUAGUAUCUGAAAACUCUCAGUUCAAAGGGCCCAAUUACACCUGGCUUCCAAACACCAGGCAAAAAAAGAAUUAAAGAACUAAAAGUUAUGGCACAUACUUAUCACUGCUGUGAUUGCACUCUUGCUGUUCCACAUCUUUGCAAAGGUCUCAUGUGCCACUCCGAACCCAUCCCACACCCACACGUUGGUAAAGCUAAUAUGGCCAAAAUUGGCUAGAUAUUAAACAAUAUUUUUUUUCCUGGGCACAUAGGACAACUAUAUUCCCUAGUCUUUUUGGAAGUUAAGUUGGGGCCCUAUGAAUAGAUUCUGACCAGUGCAUGUAAAAGGAAGUAAUAUAGGCCAAUUUCAGGCCCGAACAUAGUACCCUGAAUGAUUGCUCGUGCUAUUUCUUCCGCUCCAUGGCAAACGGGAUUAUGCAUUACAGAUGAUGACAUCACAAAAUGGAAGCAGCCCAGAUCCCAGUGAUCAUGUGGGAGGAGAGCUGUAUAUGAAAGCUGUCUGGGAGAGUUGUCCAUCAAACUGGAAGUGACGCAUAAGCCCUUAUCUUGUUAAACCGCAGAGACUUGGAGUUAUUUUUACUUCAACAUAAUCUAUGACUAAAACGGAGAGCUCCCUAUUUGAGUUCCUUUGAGGAUUAUAGUUCUCCAAGAAUAUGAACUCAUCUCCUUAGUCAUUAAUUCCAAAGCAUAAGCUUUUUUUAAACUAGAUUAGUUAGUCAUGAACCAUGACUAACUAAUGUUCUCUUCCCCAAAUAUUUAAGGGUCCAGGCCAAUAAUCUAGAUGGCUAAUCUCUCAUAGCUAGCUCAGCUUGGAUUUGGAGCUCUUGGGCUUUCCAGCUAUCACUCUUCAGCUGGGAACAUCCCAACCUAUCAGAAAGAUUCCAAUAAAAUUUUAUCUCAAAGAGGUGGUGUUUGAGGUCUCUAUUCCCUUCUUCCCAGGAAAUUCUUUGAUCGCUAUGCAAAUUUACCAAAUCUUCCCAAGGACGCAGCUCUAUAUAUGAGAGAGUAGUGAGGGGGCAGUCUUUGGGAGAAAUUGGGAAGCUGGACAAUGGAUGGGCAAUCUAUAGCUUCCUGGCAAAUUCUGGUCAGUGACCUGUUUCCGUAUGGUCUGUAAGCUAAGAGUGGUUUGAACAUUUUUUUGAGUUUGUAAAUGAACAAGAGAGAAGGAGGAGGAGGAGGAGGUGGAGGGGAGGGAGCAGGAGGAGGAAGGAGAAGAGAAGCAACAGCAAGAGAGACCCCACAAGGCCCACAAAGCCUUCAACCCCUACUCCAUUGACUCCCUGGUACUUACAGGGAGUAACCAUUUGUUGACUUCUGCUUUAGAGAAUUGAGUGAGAAGUAGGCUUAAAUUUACGUAACUAUGAGGAAUCAGUUAAGUGACACAUCCUGGAAAAGUAUCUACUCCAAAGUGAUUUUUUGUGUCCCUAUUUUCAGAGAUAGACAUAGAUAGCAUCGCUUUUUAAGUUCAGCCUCACCCCACUAUCCUGCUAAAAUUUAACAGUAUAUGUUUGCAUGGAAAUAAUUUUGGAAGGUUAAAUGCCAAAAUAUCAAAAGCAGCCCUUUUUGUAUAGAAAUUCUUCAUAAGUAAUUUAAAGCUACUUUUUGCCAUUCUGUAUUUUCCAAUUUUUUUCAAUACACAUAUAUUGCUUGUAUUAAUUUCAAAAAGGAGUUGUGUCUAAUCCUGGGAGACUUGAAAAACAGAGGGACUGACACAUGGAAUGCAUCUAGAGGCAAGGCUUAUGACAAACAAUUUCAGAAACUAGGAAAAUUUUUUCUGGAGAAGAGAGAACUUAGAGGAGCUGUGAUAGCAUCUCUGAAAUUUCAGAAAGAUCCAUCAGAGCAGAAAGGCGUUAACUUAUUCUGUAUGAUUAAAAGGGGUAGGAUUAGGACAAAAGGGCCAUCCCACAGGGAGACCAAAUUCUGCUGAUUGUAAGAAAGCUCUUUCUCAAAGUCAAAGCAGGCCAAUAUUUACUGUCAUGGAAGGCAUUAAGAAAUACAUUCAAUAAAGAUUUGGAAUGGAAUUCUAAAAGACGCUGGAUCAUAUGAUGUGAGACCAGACAGGGGGUUCUGAGUCUUUUUUCUACAAGCACACAACAUUUUGCGCAUUGGAAAACACUGCUGAUAUAAAUAAUACAUCCUCAUCUAUCUACUCAUCGACAUGAUCCCUAAUCAUUGCAAAUUUUUUUCUAAUCAUUAAUUUUUAGCAUCUCUUCAAUCAAAUUCAUAAGUUAAGAAUCAAACAAUCUGAUUGUAUUCCUCCUUUGCACGGACAGGAGUCUUUCAACAGAAACCUGGUGCCUGAAAUGCCUCGGGUCCCACCCCUCAGCAUGAGACAAGAGAGCAGGAGUAAAGGAGAAACAAGGGAAGCAGAGGAACAGCAGAGCAGGGGCUGCGACACCGCCAGGGCUCUUUCCCAGAACUAAGGCGAAAUCACCAGGCAACUAUGUUUUCCCUCCAGGAAAAUCAACCCUGUCUUGCUUCUUUUCAUUGUUUCUGUUUCUGUUUUUUUUCUUCCUCAUCUUUUUAUUUUAUUUUAUUUUAUUUUUAAAUUUUCCUUGUCAUGCUUACCUGAAAGUGAUCCAAAGAGAGCAGUAAUGUGUCCAAAUGGCAAUGUUAAAGCAACCUGGGGAAAUGAGCUAAGCAAGUUGUGGGAUCAAAGACAGCUGCGUUUUUGGUACAAUUAAACACUUUUUGGGAAAAACCUACAGACAAGAGCAGGGCUCAAGGGGCAGCCUUUGGCCUUCAACCUAUAAGUCAGGAGCCAAACAGCAUGGAAAUCAGCCUCACAGUCUGGGGACGCAAGGAAUCUCUGAGACAGAUCACAAGAUCCGUCUCUUUUCCUUGGCCUGAAAAGCUACUUAAGAUUGAGUUAUAGGAUGCAGAGAAUGCUUACAUGUCCCUGGAAAGCACUUCCCUUCUCCGUGCCUCAUUUUCAUCUGAGAUAAGGUUAGAACUGCUGUUCCUCGUCUGAGGUCCCUGGGAUCCUUAAGGAUUUAGGAACAAGAGGUAGUGACAAGAAUUGUUAAAUUGUUUUUAAUAUCUCUGAAAGUUCAAUGGAAAUCAUAAGGCCAUGAAAGUAAUCACUAUUGAGUUUGAUUUUGUUUGGAAUUCAUUAAUACAUUGAGCUCAUGCUGGUUAGUUAAAGGUGAUGAAAAAUGAUACCUGGCAAUUGAUAACUUUGAGGGUUUUCUGGGAUGUGAUCCGUGGACCAGACAUUGGUAACAAAACAUGGUCAUCUUGGUCAUGAUCAAGAGUGAAGCUCUCAACUCAGUGAAAAAAAUAAAUAAAAGAGGAAAAGAUAGGAAACUUCAGAGUAGGCAACGUAUAAUUGUCCUGUAAGUCCUCACAUUCUCUGGUUUGAAGUUUCUAAUUUCUGUGGCCUAAAUUGUCAUGAUUGGAUUUUAAAUUGUUUAUUUCAAAAUUAAUUUCCCAGGGUAAUCUUGUGAAACUCACCCUCCUAUGAAGAGGCAAAUGGAUGACAUUUUCUCUACAGAGGCAGUAAAUUCUCCUAUUCCCUUUCUUUGACUGUAUUGUAGGUACAAUUUAAAGGAUAAACCAGCAUUUGGAAAUGGGAGCAUCAGGCCUCACUUGCCAGGACUUUGUCUCUUUGAGAGUCGCUGUUGAUGAUCUUAAGCACACCAAGACAUUUUUUCUUUAUAUUUGUUGAUAUGAAGCUCUUUUUUAAAGAGAAAUAUUUACUUUAGAUCUUCCCUUUGGGCCAUGACAGGGAUGGAGUUGACAACCACAGGAAAAUCUCAGUGCCACCCUUCUCAAACUACAGAUGUUUUCGUGGGCAGAGUACGGUCCCUUUCUUUUCAUAAUGUACUAUUUUAGGUCUUAAACAUCUGCCAUUGGUAUUAUUUUAAUCCUAUAAUUGGUUUCCUGGCCUCCAAUCUAUCUUACUAUUGCUGCCAGAUCGAUCUUUCUAAGGCACAGUUCUGAAAAUACUUCUUGCUCCAAUUCCAUCAAUAGCUCCUCACUGAAUGUAGAAAGAAAUGAAUCUCCAUGGCCUGGGAUUCAGGGCACUGUAUGGUCUGGCCUUGAAAUUCUUUUCAGACUUUCUUCCCAUUAUGGUCCCCUCCACUUUUAAGUCUAGCAAUAACACUGUACUUGUCAUUGUCCAUUUUAUCAGGCAUUUUUCAUGCCUCCAAGCCUUUGCCCAUGCUGUUCCCUGCAGCUGGAAUUCUCUUUCUUUCUAUUCUUAAAAAAAAAAUCUAAGUCUCUGGGGACCAGCUAAAAUGUUUCUCUAAAAAACAUAAAGUCAUUUUACCUGUGUACUUCCAUAGAACUUUGCACGUAUUUUAGUCAACUUUAUGUUGUAUUUUACAGACCUGCUUGUAACGCUUGUAAACUGCUAGAGAUCAAGAAUUAGCUUUCAUCUUGACUCUCUGCAAGAGUCUCUAAAAUAAUUUAGUUGCCCCCAAAGUGGUCAAUUGCUACGUUAUUCUUUGAAAACUCUCAUGGAGAGAGAAACUGACUAUGUAAGAAGAAGGGAUAUCUUCCUGUUACUUUAGAACCUAAAGAUGAGACUGCAUUCAAAAUAUUCAUGUUUAAGAUAAGCCCCCACAAUUUUUAUUAAAAGCUUUCCUUAGCUUUUUAACUUUAAUCUUACCAAGUUCCCAAAUGGGAUAACCAAUAAUCUGGGUUUUUAAUUUAAUUUAAUUUUUCUAGAUCAGGAGCCUAGGUGUCUCUGGUGGCUGCUGCUGGAAAAUCACCCAUCCACUAGAUACUUGCCAAGGGUCCUGAGCAAAGAUUCUGCUGAUUGCAGGAAAGAGAACAUUCUAAUCAAGAAGAAGUAGAUUCUAUUCUACUUCUGCAGGAGUCAAGGAAGAGAAGCUUGAAAUUCUAGGUAGGAAUUACCAGCUGCUCAGAAGUGUCAGGUACAGAGGAGGGUCCUGAUAUAUAAUUAAUGUGAUGGGUUUCUAGGUGGGACAUGGAAGGGAUAGAAACUGGAACAUGAAACAACGGGUAGAAUUCAAGAAAUAGAUGAGACUCAAUGUUGAAAGUAGGGGAAAGGAUCGAUUUAUUAAGUAUGGUUAAUUAUUUUCCCAUUGUUAUUAAAAACAUAAGAAGGUCUAUGUCAGAAAAUAGCAUGCUUUAUCCAAGUGAGCUGAGAUGCUUCCAGACAAGGGAAAACUCUUGAUAUUUAGCUAAGUUAAGCAGCCUUAUUUGGUAAAAUGUAUGAUUACUAUUAGAUUUGAAGAAAUAUUGAAAAUGGCUUGCAGACCCCUAUUAUAAUCUGUGUAGAUUCCUAGGAGCCCAUGAUGUAAGAUUUGGGGGAAUGGUUAUAGUGGGUCAAUCCCCAUUCUUCCACCUUCAUUUUUGGAACACGAGGAACUUGACAUUUCCCUUAGCUUUACCUUCUCCUCCUAUUAUUUUACUCCCAAAAAAGGUCUUCAUUUUAAAAUCUCUGUUCCCUCUGAAGCCACUCAUGUGUAAAUGACUCAGGUCUGCUAUCCACGCUAUUUCUUCAUGAAACCUCACUCCACCAUCUGCAACUAUUUGAAGAUAAAGAGGUCCAGAUCCAAGCCUCACAAAGAAUUUUCUUCAAGAGAGUCUUAAAAUGCAACACAUGACGCGAGAGUCACAUGGCACCAGGUGAGAAGAAGGCCUUUUGAGGAUGCUGGAGAAGGUGCUCAACGGAGGGAGACCGGAGGGCUGUCCCUGUCAGCUGUGACCUGUGCAUUUUGCAGAACUGUCCCCCUUCCCUUCUGUGCAUGGAUAAGCUGUGCUCAGUGAGAUUUUCUCUUUUUAUCCAUUUAUUUUUAUUUAGAAAAACAAUACAUGGCUCCCUAUAAAAAUCCUAAAGCUAUAAAAAUAUCAAGUAAAAAGUCAAAUUAUUUUUUUACUAUGCCCUAGAUCUCCCCUUUUACAGCCAGUCCCAAAUCAGUCUGUACCCUUAUUCAUCUCUUCAUGUGCAUUUACUAAGAUGUGUGUGCAUAUGUGCCUUUUAUCUGCACAUAUCUUUUCACUCUAAAUACGAUAGGAUUCUAUUUCAUGGGCAUCAUUUCACAUAAAUUAUCAUGUCAGAGGUGAGUGUUCUUUCCGCAAUCUUAUUGUUGAACUAGAAGUAGAAAUAUGUUUUUGUGUCUUUUUUCCCUCUGAAGAUUUGGCCUUCUGCUGAAUUCCAAAUCAUAGGUUAACCUUCCUCUGUUCCACAAGCAGAGGAUAAUGUCAACUGUUAAAAUCUGCCCUUCUCAUUGCUCUUCCAUGUUCUUUGGGGAGAAUCUACCGGCCUUUAAGAGAAGGGACAACGACAGAGCCCUGUCUGUCAGCAAUGGACUAUUUCAAAGGAGCAAAAAUACAGGCCGACAGUCUGAAACCUCUCACGCCAAUGAGCAGCCCGCCCCCAGCCGGGGUGGCCUGGGCAUCACCUCUGCCCCCUUCUCCUCCUUCACCUCGUUCUGCCUGGCACGCACUCCUUCUCCUCUGUGCUCUUCUUGCCUUUCUUGGCAUCUCUUUGUUCAGUGUUUCCACUUUUCUAUUUGGCAUCUCCUCUUCCUUUGCUCAUAUUCUCCUUUUCUCUCCUUUCUUACUUAACUAUUCUGUAGAAUUACAGUAUUUUCAAAAACAUGUUUUUGUAAAGGCUUAAUUAAACAUACUAUACAUAUUAACACAAUGAAUACUGUAUAACCAUUAAAAUUUAUGACGUGGAAGCACAUUUUUGACACAUAAAAAUGUAUAUAAUACGCUGUUAAAUAUUUUAAAAAUCUACAAAAGCAUCUAUAUAUAGUAAAAUCCUACUUUGAAAAAUAAUUCUAUCUAUAUAGACGAGGAAUGUUAUAAAACGGUUAACAGGGUUUAUGUUUGAGAGGUAAUAAUGUUAUAUUGUCUUACGUUAUUCUUUUUCAAUUUUUUCGUAUUUUAAAAUUUUUCCUUGUUUAGUAUACAUGGCGUGUAAAGUGAUUUUGCAAAGGAACUUCAAACACGCUUACUUUACUGAAUGAAGUUAUUUUGCCUUUUCUAAAAUUGUGGUAAGAUAAAUUACGCAGUUAAAAAUGCAUAGUAAAAGGAGAAAAUGGAAUUAAAAUGAGAAUUUAAAGUCAAUAAAAGAUAAAGUGAAUUUUCAACCACGUAGAAGACUAAAGAAAAAAAAGAACAAGAAGGAAUUCUUCCAUGCAGGGGAGGCAGGACCUCUGCCACCACCGGGAAGACUGUCUCUGUUCCGUUCCAGGCUCACACUGGGCCAGCAGUCAGCCCAGAGGGCACUUUGGGGCAGAGCUCUGCAAAUACACUUGUGCUUUCAGUAUCUUCCUGAGGACAAACAAAAUAAUAUAAAUUAACUAUAAAUAUAUAUAUAUAUGUAUACAUAUACAUAAAAUGUAUGUCUGUAUACAGGCAGGUAGGUAGGUAUGUAUGCAUGUAUGUCUAAACUUAAAAAGGAAAAUAAAUUGUUCUUCAUUUAUAUACGACUCUUGAUUGAAUCCCUACCCCCAGUCCUCCCCUCUCGCCUGAGGUUCUUGCCCCUAAAAUCAAACCCAGAAGAUGCAGGGCAACCACACAAGAGAUAAGCAUGAAGAGGCUGCCAUCUUGUGGCCCUCUGGAAUUGCUUCCACUGGCCAUCAGUUUUACUGUUCUACAACACAGCUGUUUCAGAUUAGACUUGUUUCAGACUGUAGUCUACAGACUAUGAAUGCAAAUCCUAUUCGUACGUUAGAGCAGGAUUGGGGUCUCACACAGUCAUUUUUCACCACUUUUUAAAAAGAAAGGAUCAUUUGAGUUAGGACGUGUGGCCCAUUUCCGGCAGUUUUGCCAUUAGCGUUGUUCUGAAUGACCUACUGUCUUCAGCCAUUGGAGGCAUUCAGAAGUCCACAGAGCACCUCCCUGUGUGUGUUUGCUGCAUUCUGAGGACUUUCCCCAGACAGCCGGGGAAGGGACAGCCUCACAGAAGCCUCUCUGUGUGUUAGGCUAGAAGAGAAAAUAUUGGAAAGAUGUCUUAGAAUUUCAUAGUGUGCAAAAAAUUUUAUCUAGCAGCUCUGUUCACACACACACACACACACACACACACUUCCUCUAUUCAUUUGCUUCUCUAGUGUUGGAAAAGGCCUGGUGGACUUCAAAUUACCUUGUGUCAUUUUGUCAGAUGUGCAGAUGGCUCCUUAGUCAAAUAAUCAACACAGAAAUUACUAAAAAGACUUCAUAUCUAUUCUAACAUAGGCUCCUUGGACAUAAGAAGCACUGUACAUACCAACUGCCAACCAACGCCUGAGAGUUGCGGCUUCUGGAAACAAAACACUGAAGCAAAGGAACCCUGACAACUCUAUGAAAGAAGAAGUAGAGAAUUGAGAGACUGGAGAGAGAAGAUAAAUUGGCUGUCACCAUAGUCCACGUGAAAAAUAAUAAGUGCCUGGACCAAGGCAGUGGUAGUGAGCAUGGAAGGGGUAAGCCUGAAAUUCCAGAGACUUUCCAGAAGUAGAUGGAUAGAACUUGGUAAUGGCUGCAUACUGGAGAUUAAAGAGACAGGAGUUUUAACGACAUCUACAACAGAUGUGGACAUGAUAGCCAAUCUGACAGAAGAGGAAGAGCAGUCCUGUGGACACAGUAUUGAAUUUAAUUUUGGACAGGCUGAUCUGCAGCGCUGAGGAGUCAUCCAAAUGGAGAUGUGCAAUAAAUAGUUGUGCAUUCUGGUCUGGAGCCCAAGAGUCAGAGAUGAAGAUAAAAGGUGAAUGCCUGUAAAGAAUUAUCCCAACACAGCAAUAGUUGCUACUGACUGACACUGAUUAUGUGCCAGUCACGAUCUAAAAGCUUUAAUACAUUGUUUUAUGUAACUCUGUCACUGUCUUCCUGUUGAAGCUGGGAAACCUCAGAGAACCUGAAUAACUACCCAUAAAGAAAGUGAAUUUCACUCCUUAGAGGGAGAGCAUACAAGGUCAGUUGAGAAGAUGUUACUGUGAGUAACAGGAAGGUAAACUCAAACUCUGUAAUUUAUUGUAUUCACAUCAUUGAAAUGUCCCCAAGUAGGAUAGGUCCGGCUGAAAUUUGGCCCUAAACCUCAACCAUGUCUCAUAAGAACCAGCUUCCAUUCGACUCGUGCUCUGCCGUCCACAGGUUUACUCUGACUGACCAGUUUAAACCAUAUGCUCACUUCCUCCCAAUUAACUUGGCUGGAGGAACAUGCUGCGCUGACUCACUUAUACCUGGUUUCAUGUUCAUCCUGGUGAACCAGCCACUAUAGCCAGAAAGGAGGAUGGAUUAUGCUAAUUGGCAAAGGCCUAGCAGGGCCUGAUCUUGCUUUGUUGAUAUGGGCAUCAAUCCCAUUCAAAUUUUAGGAUUGGAAAAAGUUGAGUUCUUUAGGAAGGGAAAGGGGAUGAAGGGGAGACAAAUAACUUACCAAACAGAGUAACCAUGAAAGAGGAGCAAAGAUGAAAUUCUGGAAGGCACUAUACUUAAGGGACAGGUAAAAGAGGCGACAGUCUGCAAGAGAAUGCGAAAGAAUGAGGAAAUAAGAGGAAACCUGGGGAGAGCAGUGUCUCAGACACGGAAGACAGAGGAGUUCCAGGGUGCGCUGGAGGCUGACUGCAGAAAAGUCCCUUUGUGUUAGUUCUUGGGAAGGGAUUCAGCCAUUACUAAACAUUGC
rnacentral:lncRNA from 1 species